UACGUAGGGGGCAAGCGUUGUCCGGAAUCAUUGGGCGUAAAGCGCGUGUAGGCGGCUCGAUAAGUCUGCUGUGAAAGUCCAAGGCUCAACCUUGGGAUGCCGGUGGAUACUGUCGAGCUCGAGUCCGGAAGAGGAGUGUGGAAUUCCUGGUGUAGCGGUGAAAUGCGCGGAUAUCAGGAGGAACACCAAUGGCGAAGGCAGCACUCUGGGACGUGACUGACGCUGAGACGCGAAAGCGUGGGGAGCAAACAGG
rnacentral:rRNA from 1 species